rnacentral:rRNA from 1 species
AUGUUUCGUACAAGAUUCCGUAUGAAUAGAGGUCUCUUCCUCUGCAUUGUGAAUGCCCUAGGUGAGUGGUCCCCCUAUUUCACUUAUAGGGCAGAUUGUUCUGGUAGAAUAGGGCUCUCGCCAUUGCAAAAGUGUAUAGCAGCCAUGCGCAUGCUAGCCUAUGGCACCCCUGCAGACGCACUUGAUGAGUACUUGAAGAUUGGGAAGUGCACUGCAUUAGAGUGUUUGGACAAGUUUGCAAAGGGGGUGAUUCAGGUUUUUGGUGGGGAGUACUUGCGACGCCCCACACGGGAGGAUGUUGAGCGUCUUCUUCAGGUUAACGAGUCUCGAGGUUUCCCUGGAAUGCUAGGAAGAAUUGAUUGCAUGCAUUGGCGAUGGGAGAAGUGUCCUCUUGCAUGGAGGGGGCAAUUCACCCGCGGCGAUUAUGGAGUACCAACGAUGAUCCUAGAAGUCGUUGCUUCCCAGGACCUUCGUAUUUGGCAUGCUUUUUUUGGAGUUGCUGGGUCAAAUAAUGAUCUGAAUGUGCUCAAUCAAUCCCCACUGUUUUUUGAUGCACUGAAAGGAGAAGCCCCUCAAGUCCAAUUUUCUGUCAACGGGAAUGAGUAUACCACAGAUUACUACCUUGCUGAUGGUAUAUACCCAGAAUGGGAUGCCUUCAUGAAGACUAUACCACUUCCCCAAAUAGAGAAGCACAAGUUGUUUGCCCAGAAGCAAGAAGGGGCAAGGAAAGAUGUCAAGCGCGCUUUUGGGGUAUUACAGUCCCGUUUUACCAUUGUCCGUCGGCCUGCACGUCUAUGGAAGAGAAAGAGUGUUGGAAGGAUCAUGAGGGCUUGUGUGAUUCUCCACAAUAUGAUAAUCGAAGAUGAGAGAGAGCAGGCAAAAAUUCAUAUUGACUUGAAUGAGAUUCCGGGGGCUUCAUUUGCUCUACCUCCCGAAGUGAAUGUUGGUGGUAAUCUAUGUUUCGCAGAUGUGUUGCGUAGAAAAGCUACUAUUCGUGCUCGUCCACAGCAUGCCCAACUUAAAAGUGAUUUAGUCGAGCAUAUCUGGCAUAAGUUUCAAAACAGCAAUCAUAAUUAA